CCGCACGCAUUUGAACCCAACAAAUUAUCCACUGCCCCAAUGGCGCCCCUGCCUUUCUUCCCCACCGCUAUGCUCCCCUCUCCCCACGGACGCCUCCCAGCCUCUGCCGCCGCCCCGCGCGACGGACGCCAUCCCUCCCCUAUUUCCCUCUUCACCUCCACGGCCACGCCGCGUCGCCGCCCGAGCCCCACUGCGGUCGCUAUGAUCCGCCGCGCCGCCCCACACCCGAAGCUGCAGUCGAGAUGCAUCUGAGCGAGAACGAGGGGAUCGAGGGCGUGCGGUUCGCGGUGACUGGCGGGCAGGGCUUCGUCGGCGCCGCGCUAUGCCUAGAGUUGAUCCGCCGCGGCGCCCUGGAGGUCUGCUCUCUCGACGGCUCGACCUGCGCGAUUCCUCCUCUUGGUCCCAGUAGCUCCUCGAUGCCAGUGUCCGCUUCUUCCAAGGUUCUCUCCCUCACUCUCUUUUGCUUAAAUUACUGUGGUUUUUUUCUUCUGUCGCCAUGAGUGGGCGUGAGACUGCGUCGCAGGGAAGAAGGUAAUUUGUUUUUCUGUCCAAUGCAUUGAAGCUAUAAUGUACGUGCUUAGUAAAUUGUUUAGGGCGGUGUGAGACUUAUAAUGCCUGCCAAGUGCCAACUUAGUGAAUUGAUAAACCAGGAAUUUUGUGUUUUUUACUUGACUUGAUUUUGCACAAUUCAGUUAUGUGUCCACUGAAUGGAUUUGACAUGACAUUUCCUGCAGGCAAUGAGGGAAGUAGAUGGGCAUGGCUGAUCUGUUCGUCAUGCAGUUAUGUGCUAUCUUAUUCCUUGAUACUGAGUGUGAGCCCAUGCAUGUGCAAGCUAUAUGUACCCUUAAGCUAUUAGUGUUCUCUAACUUAUUUCCUACUAUUCCUGUAUGGUACCACUUUUUCCCUAGCAAGGAUAUGUGAGCCUAUUAACCUUAUGUUGUCUGUCAAUGUCAGAUUUAGAACCCAGCAAAGAAAUAUGGCAGAAAUUUGCAUAUUAACCUUUCUUGUGCAGGUUUGAGAUAUAAAUGUCACACAGAUGAUUCUUUGCCAUGAGUGUGUAAACUUAAUGAGGCAACAUGGUCUUCGGCACAAGAAAUACCCAUGGACGUGAGUGCGGGCUGCCGCUCCGGCCUCCACUCCUCUGCUUGACCACCGCUGCCACCACGUUGAGGCCCUCGCCACCAAGCGGCAUGCUUUCCCGGACAAAGGGCAGGUACACAAAUAGCUAAGAACACAAGGAGACGUGCAGGUCUGCGUUUCUGAGUUAUAUCUCUUUUAGCACCAGCGAUUAAAUGGUGUGUAGCUGGUCAGGCGUGCUUGCCUAAAAUGUACUUUAGUAGUUGCUAGAUCCAUGCUAGCUUCUAUGUUGUUCUUGCAGCCUCAGCUAGCUAAUUUUAUUUAAAGCAAAUGUUGUUCUAUCCUUCCAAUUACUGUUAUUCAGUUCUUCUUUUCUUUUUUCUGUUGUCGUUCACAGUACAAAUGUUAUGAGAAUUUCAUGAAUUUUGUCAUAUCUUUCUCCCAGUUACCUUAAUUUUGUAAAUUGUGGUCUAAUUCAAUUUUGAGUUUGUUUUCAGAAAAGCCUACUUUAAAGCUGUGUAAAUCCAUUAUUUCCUUUGAGUUUGCCAUGGAGGUGAGUUGGGAACCUUUUUUAUACUUGGUGGAUGCACUGAUGUAGUGACGGAGACUUGCCUGAAUGUUGUUUUCCUCAGCGCGAAGUGCUUACAAUUCUCAAAGGCGUCAACAAGUCCAGGAGGAGAUUGACAAGGAAUUCUUGUUGUAAAGAGCGAAGGCAUGGUUUGGUUUGCAUGACAUUAUCUUCAAUUGGCUGGAGAUAUAUAAAUGUUGAUACUUGAUUUUCUCACCUGGCAUUUUAUCACUUCUGUGAAAGACACUCCAUUUUCUCAUAGUAAUAGUUCGUUAAUAUUGUUGAUACAUAAAUGGAUCUUUAUUGAAUCGUACUUGUAUGUGUGUAUGGAGAAUGGUGAUUAACCUUUUAAAUAAUCUAUUAUCCAACAA